rnacentral:tRNA from 1 species
GUUCCCAUAGUUCAAUGGAUAGAACAAGAAUCUCCUAAGUUCUAAAUCCAGGUUCGACUCCUGGUGGGAACA